rnacentral:rRNA from 1 species
AGCGAACGCUGGCGGCAGGCCUAACACAUGCAAGUCGAACGAAGUCUUCGGACUUAGUGGCGGACGGGUGAGUAACACGUGGGAACGUGCCUUUAGGUUCGGAAUAACUCAGGGAAACUUGUGCUAAUACCGAAUGUGCCCUUCGGGGGAAAGAUUUAUCGCCUUUAGAGCGGCCCGCGUCUGAUUAGCUAGUUGGUGAGGUAAAGGCUCACCAAGGCUAGGAUCAGUAGCUGGUCUGAGAGGAUGACCAGCCACAUUGGGACUGAGACACGGCCCAAACUCCUACGGGAGGCAGCAGUGGGGAAUCUUGCGCAAUGGGCGAAAGCCUGACGCAGCCAUGCCGCGUGGAUGAUGAAGGUCUUAGGAUUGUAAAAUCCUUUCACCGGUGAAGAUAAUGACUGUAGCCGGAGAAGAAGCCCCGGCUAACUUCGUGCCAGCAGCCGCGGUAAGAC